GUAUUAAGCUGCAACUUUCUUCGUCUCUUUUCCAUCUUCACCCCUUCGUUUCUACAUGGUUACAUCCAAGGGGGACGGCUGCGGAGCGAGAUAGGCUGCCAGUUGGGUCUGUGGCGUCAGGAAGCGCUCUGGGCAUUGAUUGGUCACCGCGUGCUUGCCGGAAUUAGCUCUUAUGGGGCGCGAAUAGGCGCCGGAAAUCCCGCGACUCCCGCUUUCCUUGAUCGGCCCUCUUCGAUUUGGCUGGCUGGCUGGUACAGGCACUGGGAUCGCAGAGCUGGAACUGAGGGCCACAGGCCUGUGUGUACGCGUGCGCCUGCGUUGCCGUGCGCGGCUUUUGAGAGCAUACAAUUUUUCUCUGAGUUUUAUUGCUUUUCCCGAAGGGGUCGAAUAGCUGCCCUGGUUAGUGGCGGGGUUUGGCGCUGUCGCUAGAGGAGCAUGCUGACGGCGUUUCAGUCUUGUUUAGCUCUCGCUCAGUCUGUAUCGUGUGGACACGCACGGCCAUUUGCUCAAAUGAAUGCAAUUCUUGUCCAGGGAGAGGUCUCUGAGUUUGGUGUCUCUCCCUGGAGAGUAAACUGUAUCUGGCAGCUUGGGAUUGUGUAUUGCUACGUGUGACAACACAGGUGCUGUUUGGGUACAUUUGAUCUCCUUGACCCUUUGGGCGGAAUUGUGAGUGAUGGAAUAUUUGAUCUGAGUGGAUUUUGUGGGCCAUAGUACAAAGCCUCUAGGAUGUGUGUGCCUGUAUUCCGGGGUGUGCAUUUUUGGAGCUUUCUGGCAUUUCAGUCCCUGGGUGUGAAAUCUCUGUGUAGGCGUGUGCACCCCAGAUUGUGAGAUCUCUGAGUUUUUGAUUCAGGGUCCCAAGUUGUGAUGUCUCUGAGCUGCUUUAAGGAUGGGUUUGUCUAAAGGUGUAAACUAUGAGCUGCUUGGGGACCUGUGCACAGGGUGCAGGUUCUCCAUUUGUCUGGGGACUUUAUCUAAAGGUUAUAUGAUAUUCUUGAGAUAUUAAAAGUUCUGUCUUUCUGUUUAGGGUUUUUGUAUUAGAUCGGUAAGUGUCGAGUGGUUUGGGAGUCAGUCUCCAUGAUGUGAAGUAUCUGUGCAGUUUUCAUUUGUUUCCGUCUUGAAGACUUUGGUCUGUUUGGAGGGUCUUUGUCACAGUGUGUAUGGUUAUGGUCUCAGUUGUGUUUGAGGGCCUGAGACGAGUUAUGUGCUCUCUGUGCAGAGAUUCAGUGAGCUCUUUUUGGUGUCUCUGGGUAUCUAUCUGAGCUGCUUGGAGUCUUUGUGUCAGAAAUAAAACCUCUUAUGUUCUUGGCUGUGAGGUCUCUGUCCGGGAACUGAGGGUUUGGAAGCUGGUAGACAUGAUUCCGAGGCCUUGAACCUCACAUGCUGACUGUGUGUUGUUGAGCGUAUCAUUUGUCUCCUGGAAUCUCAGUAUAUAUCAUAAUUAAUACAGUGCGGCCAGUGCACGUCUUGCAGGGUACCUGUGCAUGUUCGCAGUGUGUGUUGCCUGGCUCCAGACUGUCCUUCCGCAAAUGUUUCUGAGCACCUGCCAUAUACCUGAGCACUAUUGGAGGAGUUUGUGACAGGACAGAACUGACCAAGUCUCUCCUUUCGUAGACUUGGUGGUCAGUAAAUAAAUCAAGGGUGGCAGGCACUAUGAAGAAAGAUAAUGCUAGAUCGGGGGAAAGGAUAUAUGUAGGUAUGAUGUUAUUAUUUUAUACAAGGCAAUGAGGGAAAGUCUCCCUGAAAGAUGGCAAUUAAGCAGAGAUCUGGAGGAAGUGAGGGAGCAGGCCAUGGGGUUAUCUAAGGGAAGAGCAUUCCAGGCAGAAGGAGUAACAAAUGCAACUGUCCUGGCAUGGAAAUCUACUUGGCGUGCUCCUGAAUGUCAAGCAGUCCUGUGAUGCACGGUGUUUGGCAUGUAGCACUCAUUGAAAGGGGGUCUGGUUGCUGCUGUCUCUGUUUCUCCCACAAUUUGUGAUCAUCUGCAUUUCACAGGUGAAGGACUGAAGGCUCCAACAUGUGCCCUGCACCUUCUCUCCUACCUAUCCCUGAAAUUAGGAGUGAAGCCUUCUGGUCCAUCAUGAGAGAGAGAGAGGGACUUUGAGUGUCCUAGCUGCAGGGAUGUCACGCUGAAUGUCAGCCAAGCAGCAGAGAUCAGUUAUAAUGUGGGAAUCAUGCCUCAUAACAUUGGUACUCUCGAUGAGGGGCAGGACUUAAGAAGAAAAAGGAACUGGGGCAAAGGACAGAGGCAGGAAGGGGAGCUGGAGGACAGUGAGGGAAAAAAAAAACACGGCUGGCUUCAUCACAUUGCUUGGGUUUGGCCCAGUUCACGUUGAUUGGCUGACUGUAUUAGGACAUAUUCACCUUUUCCUGUCCCUACCCUUUCUUUCCCUUCCCUUUUUUGUGCCUGAGCAAGUCAGUCCUAAAGCCAUGAGGUGUUGCCAGGCAAGGCAUGUGUGUGUGUAAAGGGGCAUCCCUGCCUGGAGAGUCAGAGCCCAAGGUGGAAAGAAGGAUAUCCCUGGGGGUUGGGUGGGAAGGAGGCUAACUGCUUCAUGGAUUCAAGCUUGAGUGAGGUGUGGAAGUCAAGGGCCAGGGAUGGUUCUGCAUAGAUUGUGAGGAGGACCUUUUUGUGGAGGAAGGAUCACUUACAUGCACUGGCAUUCAUCAACUUGGCAAAUACAUAAGAAUGCUGAGAGCCACGUCUGUCAAUUUUGGAAAAGGGAAUUUCCAGUAUGGAAAGGAAGUAAACUAGAACAAAUUGUGAGGAAUUCUACUGGAAUUAAAGGUCUCCGUGCAAACUUCUUGUGUUCGAUAGAGCAUCCCCAACUGUACCCUCCGUAAAGGCUGGGGUGAAGUAAGAAGACCCGGUGACUCCAGUGUCUGUCCACAGCUGGUGGCACACCAAGUCUGGAUAAGUUACAGACUAGGAGCCAGAAUCCUGUGAUGUACAGAGAUGACCAGCACAUCAAAUCCUAGACCAGAGACCAAGCCAUAGGAACCAACAGGCCAGAGAAUACUGGAUGGGAGUUGGCUUAAAGGCAGUGGCCAAAUAACAAAUCUGAAUGUACCUGUAGCAAGCAAUGAUAUUGAACCAUUCAUUUAAAGACCUUCCCAAAGAGGGAAGUCCUGGGCCUCCUGGUUUCAUCAGUGAAUUCUAUCAAAGGUUUAAAGAAGAAAUAGCACCCAUCCUUCACAGAUUCUUCCUGAAUAGACAGGAGGGAGGAGGAAACAUUUCCUAAUUCAUCGUAUAAGCACAGUAUUACCCAAUUACCAAAGCCAGACUUGACAUCACCAGAAAGCUACAGAUCCAUAUCUAUCAUGAAUAGUCAUGCAUACACCCUCAACACAGUAUCAGCAAACCAAAUCGAGAAACAUUUUGCCAAGGGCUCUGCGAGAUCUUUCUUUGGGAUUGGAAUGAAAACUGACCUUUUCCAGUCCUGUGGCCACUGUUGAGUUUGCCAAAUUUUGUGUCAUAUUGAGUGCAGCACUUUCACAGCAUCAUCUUUCAGGAUUUGGAAUAGCUCAACUGGAAUUCUAUCGCCUCCACUAGCUUUGUUCGUAGUGAUGCUUUCUAAGGCCCACUUGACUUCACAUUCCAGGAUGUCUGGCUCUAGGUCAAUGAUGACACCAUAGUGAUUAUCUGGGUCAUGAAGAUCUUUUUUGUACAAUUCUUCUGUGUAUUCUUGCCAUCUCUUCUUAAUAUCUUCUG
ensembl:lncRNA